rnacentral:lncRNA from 1 species
GAGUUCCCAUGUUAGAAGCAGGCCUGAGAGUGCUGCUCUCUUCUGCAGAGACAAUCCUAGUAAUACUAAAAGGUUCAAGAAGACCAGACCUCCACAGCCUCCAAAGGCCACUCACCACAUUAGAUCUCUGCACAAAGCCAGAAGUUAUUCCCCACUGCCUGUGACCAAGUCUUGCAGGUGCCUCUCAGCCCGCUUGGUUGCCCUUCAUCACUUGGCAUCUGAAUAGCAGUGGCCAAUGAAUGAAGAGUCUUGUAUACCAAGGAGAUAUCAAACUUUGCAGGUUUCUGAUGUUCUGUGACACAAUUGGGCCAGUUUCAAUAUUUAUUCUUCCCAUCUUCAGUGAAGAUCUGCCUUUAAUCGCAUCAAUGACUGCAGCUUUUGUUCCAGGAAAGAAGG